AACAGCGCUGGGACGGGCAGCUACGGGAGAGGGCCCGUGGGAGGCCGCGAAGAUGCUGAGGAGACUGGAGCGUCUCUCUUACGAGGGAUCUGGGCCUGUUUUGCCUAGAGAAGGCUGAGAGGGGAUCUCAUUAACGCACAUAAAUAUCUCAAGGGUGGGUGACAAGAGGAUGGUGCCAGGCCACAGGGCGAGGAGCCACGAACUUGAACACAAGAAGUGUUCCUCAACUGGAGGAAGAACUUCUUUACACUGAGGGUGGCAGAGCGCUGGAACAGGCUGAGAUCCGUGAGGUUUUCCUUUCUGAAGACAUUGAAAGCCCAACUGGACGCAUUCCUGUUCUAUUAUUUGCACCUGGUAACCUCUUUGCUCCUGGUGACCCUGCCUUGGCAGGGAGGUUGGACUAGAGGAUCUCCACGAAGUCAUCCUGGGCAUAAGACAGGACCCCAUGUACAGGCUUUCAUGCAAAAGCAAAAGGAAAAGUGAAGGAAAGGCCUGGUCAGGGAAGCUGCAGGAACCAGAUUCCAUGAACAUCACAGAAAAAAAAAACACCCACAUGUGAGCACACACUCUGAAAACUAAGAACAUGGAGCUGUCUUCCCCUCAGGAAGAAUGAGGCCAACUUUAUCCCUUCUCUCAAGCAUGAAUAAAAAUAUGCUGAUCUUA